GCGACAUACUGAAGGGGUCAAGGAUCAGUGAAGCAGAGUUGGUCAAGACUUUGGAACAAUAUGGUUUACUUAUACUACCAGAAGGCCCACUGAGAGUCAGAUUUGUUCUACACCACCAGAUUUCAGAAAGUGAUGUACACUAUGCAGUGUCUUGCAUUCAGCGAGCUUUAGCAGGAGUGGCUGAAGAAAAUGGUGACAAGUAACCGGAUAAACGGUUUCAGACAUGAUCUCUUUCUGUUAGAAACUGUUCCAAAUGUUUACAUGGGAGAGAGACCAGUUUCAUUUUCAAAUUUUAGUCAAAUCUUUAAACUUCUCAUUUCAUGUCCUUUUAAUGAUCAAAAGACUUUGUUUGUUCUUCAUAUGUUUGUUGUUGGACUAGUUUGUCCUAAUGAUUUAGUAAGAAAUGAAUGUUGGCUCAUAUGGAG
rnacentral:misc_RNA from 1 species